AUAGAAUACACUAAACAACACUUGCUUACAAUGAGAUUUGUUUUUAAUAAUAUGCGUUUUACAACUUUAAUAUAGGGAAGGGACGACACAAAUCUCAAAUAAAGAAUUUCCUAAUUCUAUAAUAAUCAAAGUUUAAACUUGUGUAAAAACUUGGCAUAUCAUAUCGUAUUAUAAGAAAAAAAGAAGAAGAAAGAUAUGACUACGAAGAGUGUAAUACAUGCACAAAUAAAGUUGCUUACUAUUAUUGGAGUGGUUAUUUAUUUUGUUAGUGCUGAGUUUCAUGAAAUUACUCCUCCUAAUAAAAAGUAUUGGGAUGAGCAUAAUGCAUGUAACUACUGCAAAAAAGAAAAUUUUGAUGAUCCAAAAGAGUUAUUGGGAUGCAUUCAGGUUUGCAAUAUUAUUCCUAAACAACUUGGGACUCCAUCUUAUUAUAUUGCAGGUAAGUUGAGAGAGUGUAUACAAAAUUGCAUAGUGAAAUAUUGGAGUCAAACACCACGAGAGCUCAUGAAAUGCAUUACAAACUGCUUUGAAACACUCAGCUAAGCUACUUCUUUAAUAAUAUGGGAGAGUUGAGAUUUAAUAAAUACUCCAAUAAAUGAAAGAAAUAUAUAUUUGAGCACCUUGAUCUUCUUUCUUUCUCUUUCUCUCUCUCCUUUUUUUUUUCCCCUUUUGUGCGCAAUGCAUUUGUCAAAUUAGUAA